rnacentral:snoRNA from 1 species
CCAACUCGGAUACUCCAGGGGGUCACUCUCCUUGGGCUCUGUCCAGGUGGCAUAAGGAACACAGGGCUCACCCUCAGGAUUUACAAUCCUUUUCCACAAUGUCAGAGAUAAAAGCCAGGCCUUGAAUCUGAGCCUGCAGAUUCCUGUUGCUCUCAGAGUCCUGUGGGCAGUGACUGGGGAGACACAGCAUGCCAGAGAGGGCC